CCCAUCUAUGUGCCUAUCUUACUUAAGAGUAACAUAGUAUUCAUGCCAUCGACAUGGUCUGUAUUCAUAUAAACACGAGUGUCUUACAAAGCGUGACAGGUUUUUACAUGCCAGCCAUUUGCGUGGAGGACAAAGUAGGGCGCGGUGUCUUAUCUGGUCGAUUAACGUCACCAGCAAGUAUACAAGAAUUUUAAUAAGGACUUGGCAUGUUUUUAAUAAGGACUUGGUGAGGCCUUGAAAUGGUUGAUGAUUAUCGCGCUCACGUUUAAGGCCGUGUUCAGGGACCCAGACGUCAUUGCGAGCACUCCCUAGAUAUCUCUACUGUAUCUCUACUGUAGAUCUGUUGUGGAUAAUCUUUCGCGGUCGAGGACUGGACCCGAGUACGACUGAAGAUUGGUUUAUAUUUUGCUAUAGAGAAUGUCCCUAAUAUACACUCCCGGUAUUAUACAAUCAUGCAAAAGCCCAUUUCGUCGGCUAAAUCGCGGGCAGAGGAGUGGCGGAGAUGUUUAUCCUGCUAAUUUGAGAACUGUGGACACUUCUAGGGGUAAAACUUAAAACGCCCACGCUUCGUUAAUUCUUAAAAUCUUCACUAAAAUCUUCUUAAAGAUAUUUUCAGAGAUGGAUAGUCUUACACGGCCAUAAAGACUAUGUUUUCAAAAUGCUUAUUAAGAAAUAAAUUAUCUGAAAUGGGCUCGCCAAGGAACGAAUAAAAAGGGAAAGUGUAUAAUCAGUGCAUGUGUACCAGUUCCCAAGCUCUUCUCGCUCACUAAGCCACUGUUUGGCUAAGAGCAUCCUCGUAUGUACCGUUGCAGGACUGUCCUUGUGGUGAAAGUGUCUAACCAAUCAGGUAGGACUACAUGUGUCCAAUCAUAGACCUUGUUAGAAUACCACACGUGUGACACUGGGAUCGAGUGGCAGAACAGUCUUCCCUCUUCUUCCCUGGGAUCGAGUUUGGUAUAGCAGAACGGUCGUUUGUUGAUAAUAUAAUUGAUUUCUGAGGAAUUGAUAAAGCAGAGAAACACUCAAGAAGCAGAGAAACACCCAAGAGAAAAGGAUUUAGCAAAAGCCGUGUUAUGUUCCCUUACUGGAGUCCGUCCUAAGACGGAGACAAGCCAUUAAGAGGGGCUUCACCACCUUGAUUAUCUCAUCCUGACCAAGUCAUUGCACUGCAGUUGUCCACAUAUCACAGUUGGUUAUUGCCCUUGACAAAUACUGCAGAGGAAUUCCCUUUUUAUUUAUUUCAGGCAGUGUCAAAUUUUGUUAUUCAAUGUCAAAGGUGCCAAGGUUAACAAAAUUGAACCAGAGAUUUUGUCAUCUUUAGCUCUAAGGCGGCACCAAGCAAAUAGUCCAGUUUUGAAUUCAACUGUGCCAUUGGAAUUAAGGACACAUAUAAAGACAGUGUGAGCCUAAGUUUCAGAUUAUUGGUUCACAAAUAACACCGAGAUCAUGAAGAAUUCACAUGUCUUACAUUGUUUUAUUUCAAGCUCUAGGAUAUUUUCACUUGUAUGUUACACUUGACUUAUACUACCUUUGUCCAUCUAUUCAGCAGGCAUGAUGGAUUUCCAAAUUUGAUUACUGAAGCAACCUUUGUCACAUCAUAGCUUUUAAUGUUCUGUUGUAGUUAUGUAACUAUUUAUUUGCAUAAUCUUUCAAUAAAUCACAUGUUUCCUUGA